rnacentral:rRNA from 1 species
GGGAAUAUUGGACAAUGGAGCGAAAGCCUGACCCAGCCACUGCCGCGUGUGUGAAGAAGGUCUUCGGAUCGUAAAGCACUUUAAGUAGGGAGGAACGGCAGUAAGUCAAUACCUUCCUGUCUUGACGUGACCGACAGAAUAAGCACCGGCUUAACUCUGUGCCAGCAACCGCGGUAAUACAGAGGGUGCAAGCGUUAGUCGGAAUUACUGGGCGUUAAGCGCGCCUAAGUGGUUUGCUAAGUUGUAUGUUAAAGCCCCCGGCUCCACCUGGGAACGGUCUCCGAAACUGGCGAACUAUAAUACCGUAAAAGGUGAUGGAAUUUCCUCGUGUAGCGGUGAAAUGCGUAGAUAUAGUGAAGAACACCAGUGGCGAAAGGGAACACCUGGGACUGAUACUGACACCGAAGUACCAAAGCCUGGGGAACCAACAAGAAUAAAUACCCCUGGUAGUCCACGCCGUAAACGAUGUCAAGUAACCUGUGGAAUCCUUGACAUCCUAUAUKGCGCAACUAACGCAUUAAAUCGACCGGCUGGGGAAUACCGGCSCAAAGAUAGAACUCCAAUGAAUUGAACGGGGCCCCCACAAACCGGGGAACAUGUUGUUUAAUUCCAAACAACGCCAAAAACCCUAACAAGGCUUUAAAUUCCUAUAACUUUCCAAAAAAUGAUAGGUGCCCUCCGGAACUCUAACACAAGUGCUGGAUUGCUGUCCUCAACUCCUGUUCUGAAAAGUUGGGUUAAAUCCCCUAACGAACGCCAACCUUGUACCUAAUUACCAACACUUCAUGGUGGGCACUCUAAGGAAACUGCCGGUAACAAACCGAAGAAAGGUGGGGAUAACUUCAAUUCAUCAUGGCCCUAACAGCCUGGGUUACACACUUGCUACAAGGGUCGAUACAAAGGGUUGCCAACCCGCAAGGUAGAGCUAAUCUCACAAAUCUAUCAUAUUCCGAAUCGAAGUCUGAAACUCAAUUGCUUAAACUCGAAAUCGUUAUUAAUCGCGAAUCACAAUGUCGCGGUAAUUACUUCCCCGGG